GGCCCAGUAGUGUAAUGGAAAUCACGGCAGACCGGAUAUCUGUAAGUGCGGGUUCGAGUCCCGCCUGAGGUU
rfam:Dictyocaulus viviparus strain HannoverDv2000 D_viviparus-1.0_Cont84.47, whole genome shotgun sequence.